GGUCUUGACUUUCGGUAGACUCAGGUGUGGCUUCUGCUUGGUUGGAAUGAAAACCUGCACCCACACUGGCCCUUUCUGGAUAGGAUUGGACACCCCUGCUGUAGCAUUACACUUUCCCUUUACUGAACUAAGAGACCCAAACCUGUUCCAGCAUGACAAUACCCCUGUGCACAUAGCGAGCUCUAUGAAGACACAGUUUGCGAAGGUUGGACUGGAUGAACUCGAGUGUCCUGACCUCAAUCCCACUGAACACUUUUGGUUGGAUUGGAAAGCCAAAUGCACCCCAGACAUGCCUGACAUCACUAAUGCUCUUGUAGCUGAAGGAACACAAAUCCCCACAGCCACACUCUGAAAUCUAGUGGAAAGCCUGCCUAGAAGAGUGGAGAUUAUUAUAAGGGCAAAGGGGGACUAAAUCUGGAAUGGGAUGUUCAACAAGUACAUAUGGGUAUGAUGAUCAGGUGUCCACAUACUUUUUUCAGUAUAGUGUAUACAUAAAUUUAAUAUUGUCUUAUAUAGCAGUGGGUGAAAAGUAGGUUGUAUGUUAAUUAAAACUGUGUUCAGUAAAUAAAAAUGACUGAACCUGGGUCAGCACCAGCUAAGUAAGCAAUAUUACUUGAUAGAUUGUCAGUCACACCAUGCAUGAACAUGGUACUCUUGCAGUCUGGCCAGAGGCGUUUCUCAGCCUGUCCAGCAGAGGGCAGUAAUUUCUUCAGAAAGCAAAAUAAACGAAGAACGAGCCACAUAGCGGAAGUUGUCGUCUGCGAUUAAACCACACUGUCCCUACAUUAGUGCACUACCUAGGGCAUGAAGUAGUAGUAAUUCAACCCUUUAUAGGGUGCUAUAUGAUCAGUAUGGAGUCAUUUGAGAUUGAUCCUGAGGCUAAGUCCCAAAAUCACAUACUAGCGUGUUAAACAAUAUGGCACAGGAGCGACAUAGUGUACUAUAUUAGCAUACUUUGUAGUGCUUAAGUAUGUGAAUUGGACGUAACGUAAAGCGACUCGAAAAGGUUUGUAGGUAACAGGUUAUCUCUAAUCUGCUAGCUCGGUAAAUGAGAAUUAAUUUUUUUAGCGUGUAGUCUACGAGGUAAACAUGGUCGACUCGCAUUUUCAUGUUCAGCUGACAGCUGUGCUGGAUGUGCUGAUGAAAACAGCUGUGUCAGACAUCUGUGCUCUGGCGGAGAGCUGGUUUCAGUCCCUGCACAUGGAAAUAGCGAGAAGCAAAAAGGAGAAUGAAGAUUUAAGACAGAAGCUGCAGAGGAUGCAAGAGCAAAAUCCCCAGGCUGCAGCUGAAACAGAGCUGGAGAGUCAAAGCACCAAGGAGGAGAAGGAUGAGGACACUGGCAGUGAAGUGAGAGAUACAGACGAUUCUGGCUGCACAGUGUUUGCAGGAACCUCUACAGAAGAUCUAGCUGCCAGUGCACAACUAUGGCUUUCUUCUUCUGAGGAAGAACAGAGAAAGAAGACCACGUUUUGUCACAUUUGUGUUAAAGAAGUGGGAUGCCUCAAAAGCCAUCUGGAGUGGCAUGACCAAAAAUUCAAAUGCCAUAUUUGUCACAAGAUGUUUCAUAAUAAAGUUGUCUUUUCAAGACACCUUAACAUGCACACUGGCACUAAGCAUGCCUGUGAUGUGUGCAGGAAGACUUUUGGAAGUAAAAGUGGUCUGUUAAAACACAUAAGUCACCACAAAAGAGACUUGGAGAAGUGCAAGGACUGUGACCAGGAGUUUCCUACUAAACAAACCCUGUAUUCACACAGAGAAAAGACACACACAGUGCCAAAACAGUGUCCUUUUUGUGAGCUCACCUUCUCACGUAACAGCAACCUUAAGAAGCACCUACAGAGGCAUAGAGCUGUCCAUAAAUAACCAAAUCUCAUAUUUAUGCUCUACAGACUGUUAAGUAACUUCAUUUUUCAAUAAACAGACAGACAAAUAACACUGAAUUGUUGUUUGGUCUUCUGUUACAGUCUAAUUUUUAUGUAAGUUGUAAUGCUGGAAGCUGCUGUAGCACUGGAUCGUUACAUGAUCUGUUAAGGUUUCUGAUCUGUCCUGACCUGUCAUUUUCAGCUCUGUACCAUUGAGAAUGAUCAGAAAUUGUGCACACUGUAUUAGGGGUAUGAGAAGGUAUGACAUCUUUCUGUGUUACAAACUAAAUGAGCUUAGAAAAUGUGUUUAGAGGAAUGAUAAUACGGAUAUACACACUUUCUCAGAUUACAUUUAAGGGAUCAUGUGUAUAGUAUUUUUAUCGUAUUAUUUGAAUUGUUAGCAAAGGAGCCUCAACUCCUUAUUGAAACUUAAGGGUUUUUUGGCUUUUUUUUUUAAGUGUUAUUAGUUAAAUCUGGUAUUCUGAAAUUUAUUUCAUAAGCCUAUUUACAUUAUUAAGUCAGAACUGAAGUGCAGAAACACAUAUCUUUUAAUUAGAAACAAUAGGUGGUAUCUUUGCUGAAAUUAUACUCUAAAGGUUGAAAGCAAAAAAAGUCUGUAUUUAAAAAAAUUAAUUGUCAGAGAUACUCAAAAAUGCACGUUUAUCUAAGUAAUUAAGAUCAUCUUCUGCAGUGACGUUAAUGUGGUCAGAGGAAUAAGCAGAAAGUAAUUGGUCCAGAGGAAGCUACGUAUAUAUCUGACGAACUUUGGUCUUAAAGUGAGGUCAGAGCAUGAAGUGACAAAAAAAAAAAAAAAAAAAAAAAAAAUACAUUUCAAGAGAUUCUGAAAAUCUAAAAGAGCUGAUGUUUUCUGUGCUGGGAGUGGUGCUGGUGGUGGGCUUUACCAAAAAGUAUAGAGAACUGAUUAUAGUCAGUUCCAAUAUCCAAAACACAAGCAAAAUGUGACUGGAAUCUGUUGAUCCCAUUCUUCCAAAAGUGUGUUGUGUCAACAUUUGCUAUCCUUUUAGUGAAAUGUUGAUAUGGCAGUCAUUUAUUAAUUGACUGUGUUUGUCCUGCAGACUCUAAGAAAAGAAAUUUUUCAGCGACUGAAUCUGCACCAGCUGAAAGAGCACACUCGAGAUGGAACCAUACACCGGUAGGCACAAAAGCAGAAAUGAUGGAUAGAUCUAUUGGGGAAAGAGUAGAGCCAAAGCUAGAUGGUA